AUGACAUUAUCUAUUCUAGGAUAUUUGUUUGAUGUGUACAUUACACAAAUAGAUUGUGAUAAUGUGUAAAUAUCAUAUUUUAAUUAUCCACAUAUAAUUAUGACAUCAUUCAUAAUGAUAUCACAGUAAUUUUUUUUAUGAAAAAAUCAUAACUAUCCUUGCCCAAAAGGCCUAUGGAAAUAAUAUUCAUAAAGAAAGAUGGAUAAUAAUAACAGUC
rnacentral:lncRNA from 1 species